AUUCAGCUGACGAGUCUUAAAUAGGACAGAACGCGCGUCAAACUGGAU
rnacentral:hammerhead_ribozyme from 1 species